CAUGUUUUUACUUUUCAAUUCCGACAACUUUGAAGUUUUUCCGGCAUCUACAGUGAUUUUUCGGCAAAAAAAAACAGUUUUCCUUCAUCUGUUUCAGCAAAUUUUCAAAGAUGUCUUUGGGAAUCGAUGCUUUCGGGUCUAGAAACCUGGGUUCGAUGUUAAACUACAUAUGUAACAAGCUCGGUACAUAUGAUUUAUAUGCAUCAGCUUGAGGGGGAGUGUUAGAUAUGUAAAUAUAGUAGAACUCUAGUUAUAGUAGAACUCUAGUUAUAGUAGAACUCUAGGUUAUGUGAAUUAUAUAUAGGGCUCAUUGUAUUAAGUUUAAUCUCAGUUAUAUU
rnacentral:lncRNA from 1 species